UACAUAGGGGGCGAGCGUUGUCCGGAAUGACUGGGCGUAAAGGGUGUGUAGGCGGUUUAUCAAGUUAGAAGUGUAAUACCUAGGGCUUAACUCAGGUGCUGCUUCUAAAACUGAUGGACUUGAGUGUGGGAGAGGAUGAUGGAAUUCCUAGUGUAGCGGUGGAAUGCAUAGAUAUUAGGAGGAACACCAGAGGCGAAAGCGAUCGUCUGGCCCACAACUGACGCUGAGGCACGAAAGCGUGGGGAGCAAACAGG
rnacentral:rRNA from 1 species